AUGAAAAAAAGGUGAUUCGAUUCCAGGUCAAAUUUGCGGGCGCACAUGCAAACCCACUCGAACGAGAAGCGCUUUGAGUGCCCAAAUUGCUUCAAAACGUUCGCCCUCAAGUCGUACCUCAACAAGCACUUGGAGUCCACGUGCAUCAACUACGCAAACAUGACCAUGAAGAAUAAGGGCGACGUGAAGAUGCGCGAACAGGCAAAGAAGAACGCCGAAACGCAAACACUCACCAUGGAGGACAGUUCGUUGUCGACCAUCGUUGUCGACUAGAGAUGUUCAAGUGGCGGCGCUUUUUCCAGAUGACCCAGCAAUGCCUUGCUCGACAGCAUGAAGCGAGUCACCACUGGACCCUUUCCAAGACGAAGUUGCUCAAAGCGAAAAAUUGGAUUUACUUUCGAAAGUCGCCGGUGCCAAAGUUCACGAAACCCGCCCUUGUAACGGGGUGCAACAGCAAAUAUUAAAAUUUCAUUUCCGAGUCGC